AGAGAAUUUGGGGUUGCUAUAAGAGUAAAAAGAGUUCAGAUAGGCUUAAGAUACGAAGAAAUUCAAUAAAAAAUGAUUUUCGAGCAUAGGGGUAAAUUGGUCAUUAUGUCAAAGUCUAGGGCAAAAUGAUCAUUUUAUCGAAGAUGUGAAUUUUUAAUUACUUAAAUUUAAUUCUUGAUUCAAUGAGUAUGUUUUGCUAUUAUAGAUCAAGAAAUACUGAAUUCGAGCCUAGACCGGGGGAAAGCCAAGCAAAUCGACUAAAUUGACUAGUCGCCACAUUUUGUAAUUAGAGUGCCGCCUAACUAGCUCAAGGAUUCCAGAAGUCAGAGAUAUCGAUCACACUAUCAACCAAAGCAUUCGGUAUAGUUGGAUUUAUAUUUUUGAAUAUGGCGUGUAUAGGACUUAGACUCUAUUAUUUUGUAUCUUUGAGAAUUGGCCAAAUGUGUUGGCUUGGGUUGGAAACCCUUUAAUUUGUAUUAAGCUUUGAAUGAUAGUUAAUAUUCAUUUUGAAUUUAUAAAA